rnacentral:lncRNA from 10 species
AGGCACAUGCGCAGAAUCAUCGUGGUGCACGGCUCUCCCUUUGCUUCUUCGGUUGCAGUCCUCUUGCUUCUUGCGCGUGCGUGUAGCGCUUUUGCAAAGCCGCGGAGGUGAAGUGAACUUAGAGGUUGUGGGGCCGAGGGGUCGUCUUAUAGCUACCAGCCCACAGGCAUUUAGUCUACGUUGGAGGUAAACAAAUACGGGUCCUGCUUAGGAGAAAAGAAAAACGUCUUACAGCCAGUGUCUAAACUCCAAACAACGGAAUGUAUCAAUGAGACCUUGUAUAUGGAUACACGUGCAUUUAAAACCGCCCUGCCGGCUUGUAGAGCUUUUGCCGUUCUCCAGCGCUUUACAGGGGUUAUCGCACUUAAGCCUCGGAACAACUUUACCAGAUGAGGACACCUGAGGUUCAGAUUAAGAAAUCUGCCCCAAAGUCUUAGAACUGGUAUUCUCCACUGGUUGAAUGCAAAUGGAAGCCAGAGGAAAAGGGAACCCUUGACACAGUUUUCAUAUAGAUUGGCCUCCAGGGCAGACAGCAGUUGCUCUGGCUAUAUCAAAUAAAAGUGUCAAGAGUGAGCAUCCUUGCCUUGUGCUGAAUCACAAAGGAAUACCUUUCAGUUUUUCUCCAUUGAUUAUGAUAGCAGUGGGCUUUUCACAGUGGGCUUUACUGUGUUGAGGUACCCUAAUGACAAGUUCACCCCAGUGUUUUCUGAGGAGUCUACCUGGAAAUGAGAACCAUCUGUCCUUCCUAUAGUAGUUCUUCUCAGAAUGCCGACUCUAUGCUAAUGGAGGAGGUCUGAUGGCCGGGAGGACAGGAAGAAGGAACCCACAAUGAAGCAAAAGUUGCGUUUAACUCUGUCCUCACCAUUCCUCUCCUGGACCUGUCCUAAACUGGAAGCUGGGGGAGGAUGGAGUGCUGGAAUGCUGCAGAAGUCUCAUGGGAGGGCGCCUGGUGUUCACCACAUGUGUACACUGUUGCACGACCAGAUGGAAAUUUGAAUGCUGGGGCUCAGUGGAACACCUGAAGGAAGCUGGUGAGGCAGAUGUCCCGCUAUGCCUUCCAAGUGUCAUGCAACCAGUUCAUGCCUGUCAGCAUCUCUGCCGGUGGACUCUGUGAGUCAGCAAAUCUACAGAGCAGAGAGCCACAAGUGGGGACAGAUGUGGUCAAAUGCCAUUUAAAUCAGUGAUUCUCAACCCAGGAGUUGUCAUGGCACUGGCCUUGAGUGAGCUGGACCAAGGGAAGUGGUAGAAUUCCCCAUGAAGGACCAAGUGAGCAGAUAGAAGUUUCUCCAUUUUAACUUUUUCUGAGUCAAUUUAAAAAACACCUAGUGCCUUUUUCUGUACAUAGUGCCUGUGGGUUUGAAUUUAAGCCUACCCAAAUGUGCUUUUAUCCCACCUAUUUUGAACCUUGCAUGUCUCCGGGAUAAGAAUUAACAUAAGCUAUAAAUAUU